AUUGAACGCUGGCGGCAGGCCUAACACAUGCAAGUCGAGCGGCAGAAGGGAGCUUGCUCCUGGAUUCAGCGGCGGACGGGUGAGUAAUGCCUAGGAAUCUGCCUGGUAGUGGGGGAUAACGUCCGGAAACGGGCGCUCAUACCGCAUUCGUCCAGAGGGAGAAAGUGGGGGAUCUUCGGACCUCCCGCUAUCAGAUGAGCCUAGGUCGGAUUAGCUAGUUGGUGGGGUAAAGGCCUACCAAGGCGACGAUCCGUAACUGGUCUGAGAGGAUGAUCAGUCACACUGGAACUGAGACACGGUCCAGACUCCUACGGGAGGCAGCAGUGGGGAAUAUUGGACAAAGGGCGAAAGCCUGAUCCAGCCAUGCCGCGUGUGUGAAGAAGGUCUUCGGAUUGUAAAGCACUUUAAGUUGGGAGGAAGGGCAGUAAGUUAAUACCUUGCUGUUUUGACGGUACCAACAGAAUAAGCACCGGCUAACUUCGUG
rnacentral:rRNA from 1 species